AUUGAACGCUGGCGGCAUGCUUUACACAUGCAAGUCGAACGGCAGCGCGGGCUUCGGCCUGGCGGCGAGUGGCGAACGGGUGAGUAAUACAUCGGAACGUGCCCAGUAGUGGGGGAUAGCUCGGCGAAAGCCGGAUUAAUACCGCAUACGACCUGAGGGUGAAAGCGGGGGAUCUUCGGACCUCGCGCUAUUGGAGCGGCCGAUGGCAGAUUAGCUAGUUGGUGGGGUAAAGGCCUACCAAGGCGACGAUCUGUAGCUGGUCUGAGAGGACGACCAGCCACACUGGGACUGAGACACGGCCCAGACUCCUACGGGAGGCCGCAGUGGGGAAUUUUGGACAAUGGGCGAAAGCCUGAUCCAGCAAUGCCGCGUGUGUGAUGAAGGCCUUCGGGUUGUAAAGCACUUUUGGCGGGAACGAAAAGGACUGUGCCAAUACCACGGUUCGAUGACGGUACCCGCAGAAUAAGCACCGGCUAACUACGUG
rnacentral:rRNA from 1 species